CCUACGGGAGGCAGCAGUGGGGAAUAUUGGACAAUGGGCGAAAGCCUGAUCCAGCAAUGCCGCGUGAGUGAUGAAGGCCUUAGGGUUGUAAAGCUCUUUUACCAGGGAUGAUAAUGACAGUACCUGGAGAAUAAGCUCCGGCUAACUCCGUGCCAGCAGCCGCGGUAAUACGGAGGGAGCUAGCGUUGUUCGGAAUUACUGGGCGUAAAGCGUACGUAGGCGGUUAUUCAAGUCAGAGGUGAAAGCCUGGAGCUCAACUCCAGAACUGCCUUUGAAACUAGAUAGCUAGAAUCUUGGAGAGGUGAGUGGAAUUCCGAGUGUAGAGGUGAAAUUCGUAGAUAUUCGGAAGAACACCAGUGGCGAAGGCGACUCACUGGACAAGUAUUGACGCUGAGGUACGAAAGCGUGGGGAGCAAACAGGAUUAGAUACCCUGGUAGUCCACGCCGUAAACGAUGAUAACUAGCUGUUCGGGCUCUACGAGCUUGAGUGGCGCAGCUAACGCAUAAGUUAUCCGCCNGGGGAUACGUGCAGNUUAAAACUCAAAAUGAAUUGACGG
rnacentral:rRNA from 1 species